GAAGAAUAAAGGGAUGAAUUAACAGCAAACUUUACACAAUCACAUGAUAAACAUCAAAUCCUAAAGCAUAAAAGAUGGUGAUGGUGGUGGUGGUGGGUGUUUUCCCUGUCGAUCAUGCCUUGAACGUUGCGAAACUCCUCGACAUGACAAGGAAUAGUUAUGGGGCCUUUUUGAUCAAAUCCAUACUCUUCUUCAGCUUCUUUGAGGAGCUGAAUGAAAAGUGGAUGAUUUAUGUAAAUCACAGGGAUAACAAACCUCUGUUGCUCCUCACCUUGUCCCACCAAGAUCGC
rnacentral:misc_RNA from 1 species